GAUGAACGCUGGCGGCGUGCCUAAUACAUGCAAGUCGAGCGAACGGACGAGAAGCUUGCUUCUCUGAUGUUAGCGGCGGACGGGUGAGUAGCACGUGGAUAACCUACCUAUAAGACUGGGAUAACUUCGGGAAACCGGAGCUAAUACCGGAUAAUAUUUUGAACCGCAGGGUUCAAAAGUGAAAGACGGUCUUGCUGUCACUUAUAGAUGGAUCCGCGCUGCAUUAGCUAGUUGGUAAGGUAAAGGCUUACCAAGGCAACGAUGCAUAGCCGACCGGAGAGGGGGAUCGGCCACACUGGAACUGAGACACGGUCCAGACUCCUACGGGAGGCAGCAGUAGGGAAUCUUCCGCAAUGGGCGAAAGCCUGACGGAGCAACGCCGCGUGAGUGAUGAAGGUCUUCGGAUCGUAAAACUCUGUUAUUAGUGAAGAACAUAUGUGUAAGUAACUGUGCACAUCUUGACGGUACCUAAUCAGAAAGCCACGGCUAACUACGUG
rnacentral:rRNA from 1 species